rnacentral:rRNA from 1 species
CCUACGGGAGGCUGCAGUGGGGAAUAUUGGGCAAUGGGCGCAAGCCUGACCCAGCAACGCCGCGUGAAGGAAGAAGGCUUUCGGGUUGUAAACUUCUUUUCUCAGGGACGAAGCAAGUGACGGUACCUGAGGAAUAGCCACGGCUAACUACGUGCCAGCAGUCGCGGUAAUACGUAGGUGGCAAGCGUUAUCCGGAUUUACUGGGUUUAAAGGGCGGGUAGGCGGGACUGCAAGUCAGAUGGGAAAACCACGGGCUCAACCUGUGGCCUGCUUUUGAAACUGUAGUUCUUGAGUACUGGAGAGGCAGGCGGAAUUCCUGGUGUAGCGGUGAAAUGCGUAGAUAUUAGGAGGCACACCAGUGGCGAAGGCGUUCUGCUGGACAGCAACUGACGCUGAGGCGCGAAAGCGUGGGGAGCAAACAGGAUUAGAUACCCCUGUAGUC